CAAGUACAACCCGGACCUCUCUUAUGUCUUGGCCAACGAGCCUCUUCCACUCUAACCUCUUCCACUCUAAGAGGAUGUAUUAUACGAGAAAGUACCGGUCGGUAUUAUGGAUCGAAAGAGCAAAUUACUGUGCAACAAAAAAAUUUCAUUUGUAAAUGUCAUAUGGCAGAACCACGCACCAAGGGAGGCUACAUGGGUGGUAGAAUCAGACUUUAGAGCUCAGUAUCCCCAGCUUUUCGAUUGAGAGUGAGAGACAAAUUUGAGGGACCAAAUUUAUUUUAACGGGGGGAGAGUUGUAACACCCACCUAAAAUUUUAUGUUUUUUUCUUUUUUA
rnacentral:lncRNA from 1 species